UUCUACAACUAUACCACCCUGAUAUCGCCCAAUCUUGUCUGGUCUCAGAAGCUAAGCAGGGUCAGGCCUGGUUAGUACUUCGAAGGGAGAAAGAUCUUCAGAGGAGACUGCUAAUAGACA
rnacentral:rRNA from 1 species